CGGCCCCGCGCGAUCACAUGUAGGCAACCGGCGGAAUUGAAAGCUUCUUGUCCGAUCAAGACAGCCAUUAAUACGUUCGAGGUACACAGUUGUAGACCCCUGGCGAGGGAGAGCAGCCCGCCCAUGGAGUUCAGCCACAUCGUUUCAUCCCCGCUGGCGAGAUCGACGGGAGCCUGCAACCACCGGUUAGGAAACGGAUCCACCACUAUCUUCCAAUCUUCGGCCAUUCUGUUCCCGUCGUUUGUUCGUCCGCGAUUGGCCGGUAAACGGGAUCGCUUCGGGAGAAAGCGCCACCUCGGCACGUACGCCACCUUGGACGCUGCCUCUUUCAUGGUGGCCAGCUCUCGAGACUUGGGAGUAGCUGCGCUUGUGACGGCCGGGGGGUAUUCACUGGUGCGUGCCUUUGAUCGCCUCACGAUGCGAGACCUCAUCGAAAAGAGCUUGAGCAGAAAGAUUGUCCAUGUUUUAUCUGGUCUUCUCUAUACGGCCUCCUGGCCAUUGUUUAGCUCUUCAUCACAGGCAAGAUAUUUUGCAGCCGUUGUUCCUCUUCUGAACUGCAUAAGGCUACUAAUCUAUGGCCUUUCUAUUGUCACCGAUGAAGAUGUGAUAAAUUCAAUUACAAGAGAAGGAAAAUCAGAGGAAUUGCUGAGAGGUCCUCUUUACUAUGUCAUUGUCUUGAUGGUUUCUUCAUUAAUCUUCUGGCGUGAAUCGCCCGUCGGUAUAAUUUCACUAGCUAUGAUGAGUGGUGGAGAUGGUAUUGCUGAUAUAAUCGGUAGAAGAUAUGGAUCUCUGAAGCUUCCUCAUAAUAGAAGAAAGAGCUGGAUGGGAAGCAUUUCAAUGUUCAUUUUUGGUAUUAUUUUCUCAGUCAUGAUGCUUUACUAUUUUUCAGCUUUUGGUUACUUUCAUUUGGGUUGGAGUACAGUUGAGAAGGUAGUCUUGAUUUCUUUUGCCGCCACCGUUGUGGAAUCUCUUCCAUUAUCCGAAGUGAUUGACGACAAUAUUACAGUUCCUGUAACCAGCAUGGUUGCAGCUUGCCUGCUCUUUGGAUUUUAACUGAUGAGAAGGUUCGUGAGGCUUGGACUUCUACGUGCAGACUCCAAUAACAUGCCGCCACAUGUUCUACAUCACGAAGGGAGUCUGCGUGCAGGGCUAUUCGGAGAAAUGGAUUUAUUGUUGUUGUUGUAUUGUUUCGAGAGUUCAAUUAUAAUAAGUUAGAUUUAUUUUUAUUAGUA